CGGUCCAACAUGGAUCACCCUUUUCUUUUUUCUCUUUUUUUUGGUCGGCUACUGAUUUUUUUUUUUUUUUUGAUACAGAGUGAGACCAAAAUAAUAUAAGAGAUCACUCUUUUUCAUAACAACAAGUAAGCUCUUUAUAUGUUGACGUGAUUUUUCAUUUUGGUAAAUUGUAAAAGCCGUAAAAUUUAGAAAUCAUAGGGGAAACCCACGAAGUUUAGGGACAUUUAGGGCAAAAACUAAAUAUUUGAAAAUGUAUGUGGAAGAAUCAUAAAUACAGAAUCAGAAAACAAUUAAGUUCUACUGUUUUG
rnacentral:lncRNA from 1 species